ensembl:lncRNA
CAGCACCCUUUUGUGCAAGUGAAAAAUAGCUGCCUUUAGAGAUUGUUAGUCUUCCCGAUGUGGCGAGAAACUCAAACAGUGAAAAAAAAAAACGGCGUAAGGUGGCAAACAGCUCCCGCCCCUUGUUUAGGUUUGCUUUUCAUGCAAAGAAAGCUCUAUAAACAGUGCAGAGAUUGAGCAAAGCUUUUAUUGACUUCAACACUUUUUCAUCAUUGUUUAGGCAUCUAACAGUUAACCCUUUGUGAAUAGCAUUAAUGAUGGAGUACCAUAAAAAAAUUAUAAUCUGCAGCUAGAAGGGUCACAAUUUGUACUGUCAUUUAUCUCUCAGGGCAGGGAAUAGCUCUUCCCCUGAGCUGGCCAUGCUGGAGAACGCUCACAUCAUGAAGCUGCUUUCUGAAAGUAUUUCCCCCAGUCACUCAAAGCAAGCAUUACAGAGCACUGACAGCUACACCGGGGACAACUUGUACCCCCUCCUGAACCCAGCACAGAAAUCAUGGCCAUCUGACCAACCCUUUCUGGAGGUGACCCCUGAGCCUCUUGCCUACAGCACGUUUUUGAGACAGCCAAGCCCUGUAUACUCAGAGUCCUACACCAACUCGCCUCCAGACAGAUACAGGUGAGACAGGCUUCUAAACUGUCUGAGCCUUUUCAGAUCAGCCAUUUAUUUCUUUGCAUUCUUCUUCCUAUAUAAAAAAAAGAUCAUUUGGUGAUUUUAUGCAAGCUAUAAAAAGCAAUAGAUAUUAGUAAGUAAAAUACUGAGCAAUGCCAUUGCAUAAAAUUAAUUUGACUAUUUUUCACAGGAAUGACUUCCAGUUUGUUCUUGGUAGCCCACAAGCUUCCCAACACAAGACAACAGAAAUACCCUUGGUGUACCUCAAUAAGGGCCAGUUUUACCCCAUCACUCUGCAGGGAGUGGACAGCACUGCUGGGGUGUCAUGCAGCAAAGUAAAAGUAAGUUCAGAAAUAAUGGAAAUGUAUUCUUGCCAUAUAACAUGUUAGUUCUAAGUAACCUGCUCCAAAGAGAAAGAGUGAUUAGUUAUUUAGGCAUCGUUUAAAAAAGUUUGACAUUUUGUCAUUCAUUUACCAUGGCGUGCAACACCAAAGAAGCUUUGGGGGAAGUUUCCUAAAACUUCCAAACUCAUAAGCCCUUGCAUAUUCUAGGUGUGACAGAUUGGCUGUUUUGUUAAAGCAUACACUGCUAUGGUCAGUGACAAAGUAAAGAGAAAGGGUAUUAGUGUGGUGACAUACAACAUCGCUUGGUAAACGACAAAAAGACUAGCAUUUGUUCUACAGGGAGUCACCACUCUCUAAAAAUAACAAAGUAACAGGUUCUAAUUAUGCUCCUUUUUCUUUCGUUCUCUCUCAGACGAUGAUCAUGGCUGUGUUCGAGAAUGACAAGAGUCCUGAGAUGC